AAACUCCAGAUCCCUUACCCUUCAGACCUAAACAUUGGUCUGAGUGGCUAAGAUUAAAAGAGGAAACUAAAACUGAAGCAGACUUGGACUCAUUAGAGACAUACAGUUCAUUUCAAACACAU
rnacentral:snoRNA from 1 species